CCUACGGGUGGCAGCAGUGAGGAAUAUUGGUCAAUGGGCGCGAGCCUGAACCAGCCAAGUAGCGUGAAGGAUGACUGCCCUACGGGUUGUAAACUUCUUUUAUAAAGGAAUAAAGUGAGGCACGUGUGCCGUUUUGUAUGUACGUUAUGAAUAAGGAUCGGCUAACUCCGGGCCAGCAUCCGCGGUAAUACGGAGGAUCCGAGCGUUAUCCGGAUUUAUUGGGGUUAAAGGGAGCGUAGAUGGGUUGUUAAGUCAGUUGUGCCAGUUUGCGGCUCAACCGGAAAAUUGCAAUUGAUACUGGCAGUCUUGAGUACCGUUGCGGUAGGCGGACUUCGUGGUGUAGCG
rnacentral:rRNA from 1 species